UACGGAGGGUGCAAGCGUUAUCCGGAUUCACUGGGUUUAAAGGGAGCGUAGGUGGGUUGGUAAGUCAGUGGUGAAAUCCCCGAGCUUAACUUGGGAACUGCCGUUGAUACUAUCUGUCUUGAAUAUUGUGGAGGUGAGCGGAAUAUGUCAUGUAGCGGUGAAAUGCUUAGAUAUACAUAGAACACCAAUUGCGAAGGCAGCUCACUACUCAAUCAUUGACUCUGAGGCACGAAAGCGUGGGGAUCAAACAGG
rnacentral:rRNA from 1 species